GACGUAGGGUGCGAGCGUUGUCCGGAUUUAUUGGGCGUAAAGAGCUCGUAGGCGGCCUGUUGCGUCCGCUGUGAAAUCCCGGGGCUUAACCCCGGGCGUGCAGUGGAUACGGGCAGGCUGGAGGCAGGCAGGGGAGAACGGAAUUCCCGGUGUAGCGGUGAAAUGCGCAGAUAUCGGGAGGAACACCGGUGGCGAAGGCGGUUCUCUGGGCCUGUACUGACGCUGAGGAGCGAAAGCGUGGGGAGCGAACAGG
rnacentral:rRNA from 1 species